CUGCAAUGAUGACAACUUAGGACACCUCUGCAAUAAUAAUGAUGAAAACAACUGCGUACCUUUUCUGAGCAGC
ensembl:snoRNA SNORD58 Small nucleolar RNA SNORD58